GAUGAACGCUAGCUACAGGCUUAACACAUGCAAGUCGCGGGGCAGCAUGGGGGUUGCUUGCAAUCCCCGAUGGCGACCGGCGCACGGGUGAGUAACGCGUAUCCAACCUGCCCUUCACCACGGGAUAACCCGGCGAAAGUCGGACUAAUACCGUAUGUUGUCCAUUGACGGCAUCCGAUUUGGACGAAAGGUUUGGCGGUGAAGGAUGGGGAUGCGUCCGAUUAGCUGGACGGCGGGGUGACGGCCCACCGUGGCGACGAUCGGUAGGGGUUCUGAGAGGAAGGUCCCCCACACUGGAACUGAGACACGGUCCAGACUCCUACGGGAGGCAGCAGUGAGGAAUAUUGGUCAAUGGGCGUAAGCCUGAACCAGCCAAGUAGCGUGCAGGAUGACGGCCCUAUGGGUUGUAAACUGCUUUUAUGCGGGGAUAAAGUGGCCCACGUGUGGGUUUUUGCAGGUACCGCAUGAAUGAGGACCGGCUAAUUCCGUG
rnacentral:rRNA from 1 species